rnacentral:lncRNA from 1 species
CUGUGGUCUCGAAGAAUGGUGACCAGCCCCAGCCAUCUCCCUGCUUUGUUCUGCAUCCUCAGGUCAGCCUGACGCCUCCAUCCCCUGCUAUGCUCUGGCACUCAUCAUCCUGGGUCUCCUGUUUAUUGCACUGGUCCUGGUGUGGAAGCGGAAGACCUGCUUUGGCGUGUCCAGCCAGACACGGUAAGGCACAGGGGUCAGUCCCUCUGGGAUGUUUACUCUGGGUGGGGUCUGCCUCCCAGCUGCCAAGGCUUUGUGCAGACAUUUCCCAGUGGGUGUUGACAGAGCCUGGGCGGUACAAUCACUGUGCCCCAAAAGUUUACCCACUAAUGGGGGCUGAUCCCAGGGUGGUCAAGCAGAAUCCUCUAAAUGGGUUCCGCUUACCCUCAGAAAUGCUGCAGUGGGUGGGUGGACAGAG